AGCGCGCCAGGCUGUAGAGCAGGAUGCCCGUGUUCCAGGCGCGGGUCAGCAGCCACAUGAUCUGUGUCUCCGGAAAGCUGUCCGGCUACAGGAAAGAUCCAGAAAAGAGCCAGAUGGGAGAAGAUUUGAAGCGUCAUUAAACAGAAGGAAGCGCUCGCUGACAUAAGAUUCACGUGACGACCUGGCGCACUAACCCGGCCGGCGUGAGGAGCGGCCCUGUAGAACUGAAGAGCGGCGGCAACGGCCAUGAGCAAACACAUCUUCUGGGCCGUGAGAAUGACGCGCUCGGGACUACACAUCUGGCACAGCUGGACAGAAGCACAUGAGAAUCCUGCUUGGUUAUUACUCAGUGGACACAAAUUGGGUGAGUGCAAAUGCUGCAUUUUCUUUGACACCGCCAGGGAGGCAUCUUGCAUCAUACAUGACAACAGCUGUUUCGAGACAUUGCUAUAUUGUUUAUUAGCAUUCCACGUAGAGACCACAAUAAUAAACUUGAUGUGAAAGAGCAUUUUAGUCAUCCUGAACCCCGGCGGCGGCCACUCUUACCUGGUAAGAAAGCAGAAAGAAAUCCCGCAUUCUGUCCGGGUUGCUCUCACACUGCAGUGCUGCAUUCCAAGCUACAAUCAAAAGAAAAAAAAUGAUUCGAAACGUUUGUGGUCAGAUUGCGCCAAACCGAGGAAGAAUCUUGGCUACCGAUUUUCCUGAACCAGUUGGCUUCUUCCGUGCGUUGUUCGGCUGUCAAGCACAGCCGUUGUGAAAGCUUCUGCAGCGCUGCGUUGACGGCAGACAAAAACAUUUGCAGCUUAUGAUGGGGCUAAAGACAAGACGAAUAUUCACACGCAGCAUACCCAUCUUUAAAUAAGGCAGCAGCGCGUCCGUAUUGUCGUUCCUGCAGAGAAGUCUCAAAAGUGAAUUUGACGUUUGGAAUCAAAAUUUUCAGUAUGUACCUUUUCUCAUCAUUGGGGGCUUCUAUGGCCGUGAGUGCGAGUCGAACCAGGCACCUGGGAAAAGAGCAAUAAUCUUUAAUAAUCAACUGUCUCUAAUUUGAAUGUCUUUUCCAAAUCCGUUUUUUUUAAGGGGAGGAAAUAUUGCUAUGUGGAUUAGGUGUGGAAGUGUAGAAAAGCAUUAACUCACUGAGAGAUGCCAUUCAAAGAUGUAUUUGAACAAGACAAGGAUUUCACUUUUAUUAAAAAAAAAAAAAAAGGCUUCUCCCUAUCCUUGUAUUGAUUUUAAGACAGCAACGUGUCUGCUGACUACAAAGUCGACAAACUCCGGGUUCACUCGUUUUAGAUUUUGUCGCUGUUCUCAAAGGUCUUCGAGCCAUUUGGGAUGCAAUAAAUAGAAUGAUGAGCUGACAAAACUGUUCGAUCAUGCAAAAUAAAUCUGCACGCACAUACUGUACUCUCGAAGCUGACCUGUUCCAUCUCCUCUAAAGCAUUACAGGGAUUCAUUAGAAACAAAACACACUGACUAAAAUGUAUUUGACUUGCUUUUUUCUCCCCUCAUUUUCACCAACCUGAGAGCCUUCAGAACCAGAGCUUCAUCUUUGGAGGUUUCACACACAUUUUCCAGGACCUUCAUGGCCAUGUCAUUCUGUUUAUUCUGUCACAGAAAGCAAGGAAGGUUUUUACCGAAGUCAAAUUCCUUGUUUGGCACGCUCAAACAUGGCGAAUAAAAACUCUUGAAUCUUGAAAACAUCUUUUGAUGCCCCAAGCAGAUUCAACACACAGACACACACAGAAAGACAUUGGAUACCUCCAAGGCCAUCUGAGCAGCCUGGCAGAGGAGGCUGGAUGUGGCGUUCUCGGACAAGGGUCCGGCCUCUUUGAGAUCCUUGGACAGAAGCGCCAUCGUGUUCACUGCCUUGGCCGCUAAUCCGCACACAGCAGGAGCUCGACGUGCAGGACGAGAGCGGUUUCCAAGGCGGGAGAUGACUCAAACUGCUGACAGGCACGAUUUAAAAGGUCUAAAGCUGGCGCCUCUCUGGGAGAAGAAACGGACAGAGACCACAGCAUUCAUUUUAUAUUGUUAAUAUCCAGGUAAAAAAACAUUUGGGUAUGUACCUGCUUUCAGACAGGAGGAACUUGACUGUAGUGAGGCAAACUUGAAGUGAAACGUCAGAUUGUAGCAUCUCAUCCAGACCUGCCAACGCGUUUCAGUCCAACUACUUCAAUCUCAAGAGGGAGUGUUUUGAGAUAAAAUGGCAGGCAGGAUUUUUUUUUCAUGAAUGGAUUUACCCGCUGUGAUGCUUUCAUCCGAGGCCCCGGAUCUCAGGAGUAUUUUGAUCUUUAAAAAGAGCCCGAAGGCGCUCACACAUUCCUGACAAAAUGGGCGCACUGCUUACAUGCUGCUGUUUUUUCUUUUAUAUGUUAUAACUUCAUUUUCAGAUCUGACCUUGUUGGCUAAAUCCACGGCAUUAAGGGCCUCUUUGUGAAACCUCUGAACGUCCCAGUCCAGAUAAGCAGUGGCCAGCAGACGCAAAGUCUUGGCCUGAAGACGGUCCAAAACAAACACAUUCUUGUUUGUAUUGUUGCUGGACAACUCGUACAAAUUAUUAAGCAGGUUGAAACAAAACCAUGAGGGAGUGUCUCCUCAGUGCCAAAGUACUGCGACAGGCUGCAUCAAAAUUGAAAGUCUGGACGAUUUCAAGGCAGAAACAAGACUUUGAACAACCAAGUUGGAUUUUUGGGAAUGACUUUCAUUCAUUCAUUCACUCACUCAUUCAUUCAUUCAUUCAUCCGCUUCAACGUUGUGUACAAGCAAGGACACGAUUGUCUUCUUACCUGAAUCUGGGCUUCAAGACCAUAUUUCUCAUGAAUCUUGCUGAUAUCAUA